rnacentral:lncRNA from 1 species
CCGACUAACGGAUUUAACAAGUGUACACUGGUCGCCCGGGUCACAAAGGUCUUAGCGAAGUGUGGAAGAGCCUCGCGGAGUCCGCCCUGCUGACUGCUGAUCCCAAGCUGGACGGGUGCGACGGCAAGACCCCUUUUGAAGGCGUAAAACAAAGGAAUUCUGCGAUUCGGAGAGAACGGAAACCCCGGUACAAAAGGGAUGAUGGACAGGAGGCCCCCGGAGGUGCAGGAAAGGGCAGUGAUGAACAGGAGCUAGAUCCUCUCCCAUGCCUCUCUCCUUCUCCCCCACACCCCACCUGACAUGCCCCUGCAAGCCGUCAGUCAACCGCCUCCUCGCGCAGGUUGAGAAGGCUGCAGACAUUGAGCUUCCGGUUCUGCUUGGCC